ensembl:lncRNA
CACAGCUCCAUUUGGCUUCUCUCACAUUCUCCAUUUGAUGGGCUUGGUUUUUUUUGGUCUUUCUUUGGGCUUGUUUUUUACUUAUACUUUGUAAAUUUUAUUUUUAUUACUACACAAGCUCAGUACAUAAUGAUUACAUUCAUGGUGGACAGUAGCUCAUGCUAGAGGAAGCCAGCUGCCAUGUCAGGAGGCAGCCCUGGGAGUGGCCUUGGAAGUGGAAGUUCUGAGGCUGCCACAGCCAAGUUAGGUGGAAGUUGAGCCCUGAGAUGGGCUGUAAGGUGACAUCUUGAUUGGAUCUUGAUGGGACUCUGAACUGGAACCACUCAGCACAGUGAGAUGGAAAUCUCCAUGCUCCACGGGACAGUUUUGAUCGGCAACUGUGCCAUGGUGAAAUCUUACCCCACAGGACAUCUGCGUUAUAAAAAAAAAGCUUCAUGCAGUCCUGGUGAUCAGAAAGUUCAGAGACUCCUUGCUCAUGUUACAGAAAAGAAAAUGGACUCCAAAAAUACACCGAAGUCUUGCCUAGGAAAGUUGACUUUAUUACUGAGAAGCCCAAGCCUGUUGCAGAAUGCUACAAUGACCACUCUGCAGGGAGCACCUCUUUGACCAUUGGUGGGC